AUCCUGAUAGCUCAGUCAGUACAGCAUGAGACUUAAUCUCAGGGUUGUGGGUUCAAGCCCCAUGUUGGGCA